CACGAAUUCACGUGAGCUAACUAGACUAACAUUUUAUGUAGCAAAAUAAUAUAUUGAAGUAUAGUUAGGAGUGAAAGGCCAAUCAAAUCGGAGGAUAUCUUGAUGUAAGUGAAAGAAAUUGAGUUUUCAAGGUAACUAUAUAGCAAUAAGGUUAUAUAGUAGAUUGAAGUUUUGUUAUUUUAAUAUAGUAGGUAUAAAAACCCACAUCAUAAUAAGAGAAUAUAUAUUUAAAAAGGCUUACUUAACUAACUUACAAAAAACAGACUUUUAAUUUUUACAUAAUGUUAAUAUUAGUACUUAAUAGUUGUUAGUAGUGAACUCGGCAAUAAAGCUUUCAACUGUUUAUCAAAAACAUAACCAUAUGUUACACAUAUGGCGUGUUCUGCUCAAUGACAUGUUAAAUAGCCGCAGUACCCUGACUGUGCAAAGGUAGCGCAAUCAUUUGUCUCUUAAUUGGAGUCUUGUAUGAAAGAAUGUAUGGGGGCUUACUUUACCAUUAAUAUAUCUGGAACUUACUUAAAAGGUGCAAAAACCUUUAAAUAAAUAAAAGACGAGAAGACCCUUGAAAUUUAUAUUAAAGUUUUGUUGGGGCAACAAAGUAAUAUAAACCUACUUUAUAGACACGAAAUGUGGUAGGCUGAAUAAAUUACUCUAGGGAUAACAGCAUAAUUCAUAAUGAGUUUGUGACCUCGAUGUUGGAUUAGGAUACUAUAACUUAGAA
rnacentral:rRNA from 1 species